rnacentral:lncRNA from 1 species
UGAGUAGUGACAGAUUUCCCUUCCCCAAAUCGAGAGCCAUGAACUCUGUUCUUGCAAGCUCCCAUGCUUCUUCUCCAUUGCUCCUUCUUUUCCCACAUUCUCCCAAAACCUUCAAUCUUCUUUUCACACUCCCAAAACCCCAUUUCCACCCUCUUCUCUUCCUCUCUUCCACUCCCAAUUUCUCUCCCAUGGUUCUCACACGUUGCUCCUCUGCACCAUCACCCACUGGAUCCACCCCUUCUCACCAAACCCUACACUCUCAACUCACGAUCCCCCAAACCCCUCCAUUUCUCUCUCCCCUUCCCAAACUCACCUUCUCCGACCAAGCCUUCUUCCUCCUCGCAUUCAUCGCUUCCAC